rnacentral:tRNA from 1 species
GAGAUUAUAGUUAAUUAUAACAUUUAAUUUGCAAUUAAAAAUUAUCCUAAAGAUUAUUCUCA